rnacentral:misc_RNA from 1 species
UUUCCGUAGGUGAACCUGCGGAAGGAUCAUUAUUGUAUAACCGAGGUGCGAGGGCUGUCGCUGACCCGAAAGGUCGUGCACGCCCGAGUGCCCUCACACACACCCCUCUCACCCCUAUGUGCACCACCGCGUGGGUCCCCCUUUGGCUUGUUCGGAGGGGGGCUUACGUUUUCACACAAACUUUGUAUGCCGAGUAGAAUGUAUUUUUUGUUUUUGAGAUCACGCAAUCAAUACAACUUUCAACAACGGAACUCUUGACCCUCGCAACGAUGAAGAACC